CAGCGGAGGGAUCAUUACUGAGUUUACGCUCUACAACCCUUUGUGAACAUACCUAUAACUGUUGCUUCGGCGGGUAGGGUCUCCGCGACCCUCCCGGCCUCCCGCCUCCGGGCGGGUCGGCGCCCGCCGGAGGAUAACCAAACUCUGAUUUAACGACGUUUCUUCUGAGUGGUACAAGCAAAUAAUCAAAACUUUUAACAACGGAUCUCUUGGUUCUGGCAUCGAUGAAGAACGCAGCGAAAUGCGAUAAGUAAUGUGAAUUGCAGAAUUCAGUGAAUCAUCGAAUCUUUGAACGCACAUUGCGCCCGCCAGCAUUCUGGCGGGCAUGCCUGUUCGAGCGUCAUUUCAACCCUCAAGCUCUGCUUGGUGUUGGGGCCCUACAGCUGAUGUAGGCCCUCAAAGGUAGUGGCGGACCCUCUCGGAGCCUCCUUUGCGUAGUAACUUUACGUCUCGCACUGGGAUCCGGAGGGACUCUUGCCGUAAAACCCCCAAUUUUCCAAAGGUUGACCUCGGAUCAGGUAGGAAUACCCGCUGAACUUAAGCAUAUC
rnacentral:rRNA from 1 species